GGAGACAUUGCUGGGACUGGCAGCAGAGGAGAUUUACAGGUCACAGGACCACAUCCACCAGGAUGGAGGACAACUUGGGUCACCUGACCGAGAAGAUACUGAACCUGACCCUGGAGAUCAUCUACCUGCUGACCGGAGAGAUGGAUCCAGUAAGAGGAACCCACCAGAGAGAU